AACAGCUUGUCAGCCACCUCGGUAGCUUGCUAGACAAAAUAGCCGAACCAAUAAAUCUCUUUAGACGCUUUAGUGUAUAUUAGCCACUGUGUUUUAAACCCUCUUCUGUCGUCUAGUUAGUUAUCAGUUUUAAUUUAAUAUUUAUGGUGUUGUUGUUAUUAGUCAGCUAGCGGGCUGGUUAAGUUAGCAUUAGCCUAGCUAGCUAGCAUUCCCGACCAUGAGUUCACUAAGCUACUCUCCUCCUGCUAAAGAAGAGGUCUGCUGGACGGAGAAAGAGGGCCUGUGGCUGAACGUUGUCGUGAAAGAGGAAGAGGAGGCUGUCACAAUACAAAAACAAGUAUAGGGUGAGGCUGUUACAGUGAAAGAAGAAGAGGAAGACGUUUCAGUGAAAGAAGAGGAAGACGUGUUCAGAAUGAAAGAGGAAGAGGAUGUUACAGUAAAGAGGAGAAAGAGGAGGAGGGUGAGAUGACUGUCACAUUGGAAGAAGAGGAGGAAACUGGAUAUCUGGGCCCGGUUUCCCAAAGGCAUGUUAAGGCAUCUAAUUGUUCUAACGAUGAACGGGCCCUGAUUAACACUAAAGACGUGGUCUGCUGGACGGAGAAAGAAGCUCUCGUCAAAGAGGAGGAGGAAGAGUAGGAUGUUACAGUAAAACAAGAAGUAGAGGGUGAGGCUGUUACAGUGAAAGAAGAAGAGAAAGACGUUUCAGUGAAAGAAGAGGAAGACGCGUUCAGAGUGAAAGAGGAGGAGGAUGUUACAGUAAAAGAAGAGGAGAAAGUGGAUGAUGCAGCUUUUGGAGUGAAAGAGGAGGAGGGGGAGAUGACUGUCACAUCGAAAAAGGAGGAGGAUGAAGAGGAGGAAACUGGAUUUCCUUUCAUCCAAGCUGGCCCUGGUUAAUAUGUUUGUGUUAUUGUCGCAAAUCAACUGAUUUAUAGUUAAACACUUCAACUAGAAAAAUGCUCUUUGGCUAGCUUUGCCAUCAGCAUGACAAUAAGUACACUAAGUUUUUAACCAAUUUGUGUUUCCAAACCCUCCCUUGGGCGUAUUAUCAGGGGGCAGAAAUCUCAAAGAUGAAUUGGUAAACUCUGAUUUACUACCCCACACAUUGCUCAAUGCAAUGGCACUUGUAAAUGUAGAUCCUUCAAACACAAAUAGGGAAACAGAUCCCAAUCAAAGGUGUUAUCACGUGCACCACUAAGGCAGUUAUUUAUCUUACAACUUGUCCUUGUGGUAAAAUGUAUAUGACGUAUCCAGUUGCGACCCACUUUUUGGAAGCGAAACCCUUGAUUUCGUCCCUACAUUAUAUCGGCAUUUAAUACAUCACCCUCCCUAGGAGAGGGGGUGACCUCGACAAUUUAUUGUUAAAACGAGAGGCUGCCUGGGUCUUUAAUUUAAAGAGCCUUGCUCCCGUCAGUCUCAACGUAGCCAUUAUUGUAAUAUUGCUGUUCAUUGUUAACGGUUGGAGGUCUAUGGAGCCAAAUUGUAUCUAUGACCGUAUGCUCUCCAUUUAUGUUUUUAUAUGUUCUAUUUAUAUCUGUAAAUUAACCAAUGAUAGCAGGCCACACCCGGACAUGAUUACAGACACCUGUGUGUGUCCUUUGACACAAUAUAAACCAGUUACCUGCAGUGUUUGUCAUUAUACCCUGACAAUGACAGCUUGUCUGUGAAAACGUUGGUAUUUGGUUAUUAAAUUAUUGCAUUUGAGCUCCUAGAGUGUGAGGUUCUCCUUUUCUUUUUCAGGCCACCGGGGUCUGACAACUUGGAUGGAAAAUGACUGAGGAUAUUAGCAAUGCUAUUGCCACUCCUAUUUGCCAUAUCUUCAAUAUCACCCUCCUAGAAAGUGAGAAACCCCUACCUUGUCAAAACACAACUGAUUGGCUCAAACAGAUUAAGGAAAGAAAUUCCACAAAUUAACUUUUAAUUAUACAUUUUUCUGUGACAAACUGAAUUAGUUAUUGAUUUUUACCGCUUUUAAAAUGGCAUUUUAUAGAUGUAUGUAUUUCUACUAAAUCAAAACUGGAAUUUUUAUUCAUAAAAGGUUGUAAAAGUAUGCUAGACAUUUAAAGAAUAAAACAUACCUAGUCUGAUGUUUCUGUAACAAUCAAUUAAUUAGUUAUUGAUUUUUACAAUUUUAAAAUGUCCAAUGUCUGUUGAAUGUAUGAAUAUAAAUCCAACUUUACCUCAGUCUUAA